GAUGAAGAACUCAGCGAAAUGCGAUACUUGGUGUGAAUUGCAGAAUCCCGUGAACCAUCGAGUCUUUGAACGCAAGUUGCGCCCGAAGCCAUUAGGCCGAGGGCACGCCUGCCUGGGCGUCACACGUCGUUGCCCCCCCAUCUACUCCUUCGGGAUUGCGGGGGGCGGAUGAUGGCCUCCCGUGCGCCUCGUCGCGCGGUUGGCAUAAAUGCCAAGUCCUCGGCGACGCACGCCACGACAAUCGGUGGUUGCGAAACCUCGGUUGCCCGUCGUGUGCGGUCGUCGCGCAUCGAGGGCUCGAAAAAAUUGCCGGGCUCCGGCUCGGCUUUCAACGCGACCCCAGGUCAGGCGGGGUUACCCGCUGAAUUUAAGCAUAUCAAUAAGCGGAGGA
rnacentral:misc_RNA from 1 species